rnacentral:rRNA from 1 species
CCUACGGGAGGCAGCAGUGAGGAAUAUUGGUCAAUGGGCGGGAGCCUGAACCAGCCAAGUCGCGUGAGGGAAGACGGUCCUAUAGAUUGUAAACCUCUUUAGGCGGGGAGCAAUGCCGGGCACGCGUGCCCGGAGGGAGAGUACCCGCAGAAUAAGCAUCGGCUAACUCCGUGCCAGCAGCCGCGGUAAUACGGAGGAUGCGACCGUUAUCCGGGUUUAUGGGGGUUAAAGGGUGCGUAGGCGGAUUUUUAAGUCAGCUGUAAAAUGUCCGGGCUCAACCCGGGCCGGCCGUUGAAACUGGGGAUCUUGAGUGGGCGAGAAGUAUGCGGAAUGCGUGGUGUAGCGGUGAAAUGCAUAGAUAUCACGCAGAACUCCGAUUGCGAAGGCAGCAUACCGGCGCCCGACUGACGCUGAGGCACGAAAGCGUGGGGAUCGAACAGGAUUAGAUACCCCAGUAGUC